GGUGGCCUAGUGGUCAGAGCGUUCGCCUCGGAUGCGGGAGGUCAUGGGUUGCCCGGUCAAGUCAUAUCAAAGACA